rnacentral:rRNA from 1 species
GCUUCUUGUAUUUUAGAAGUAUUUUCUGCUCGGUGGUUUUUAACAGCCGCGGUAAUUUGACCGUGCAAAGGUAGCAUAAUCAUUUGCCUUGUGAUUGAGGGCUGGAAUGAAUGAAUUGACAAAGGUUCUUCUUUAUUUAAAUAAAAAAAAUAAUUUUCUUUUUUAGUGAAGAAGCUAAAAUAUGAAAGGGGACAAGAAGACCCUUUUGAGCUUUAUCGUUUGUUUUUUUACUUGUUAACGAUUUGGUUGGGGCGACCGAGGAAUAUCUUCCUUUUUUAUUUUGAUCCGCGGUUUGUGAUUUAAAGAGUAAGUUACCAAAGGGAUAACAGCGUAAUUUUUUUUGAAAGUUCUUAUUGAAGAAAAAGAUUGCGACCUCGAUGUUGACUUAUAGUUUCCUCUUAGUGUAGCAGUUAAAAGGGUGGGUCUGUUCGACCUUUAAUACUUU